AAAACUACAACUUUAUUUGUUUGGAAAGUUUUGGACCCAUAUGUUAUACAAACAUGUUGGUGAGUUGGGUCGACAUGUCAUACUCACAAAUGAGGUAAGUUGUACUUUUAUGAAUCAUUAGUUAUUAUUGCAGUUUUAUGAAAUAACAAUGUAAAGUUGCAGCAAAAUGAUAGUUUUGUAGCUUUCUAAAGUUUACUCUUGAUAAAUGAAAAAGACAAACAGGGCUUGUUCAGGCUCUGCGGUUUUGCAGUUGUUUUAUACUGGAAAGUGUAACUGUACGAAGAUACGUGCUUAGAGAAUUAAGGUUCCCACUAGAUAUUGUCCAGAGGUUGUUACAGAUCAGAAACAGGAAAAGAUUAGGUACGUUUAAUGCAUAUCUAGUAGUUCAGUACAUCUGUUCGAAAUGUGAACUAAUGAUUGCCAAUUACUUUAAUGCUUUGUUUGUCAUUUCUGAUCAUUGAUAGAUUGGUCCGUACUGCUUUGAUAUUCAGGACUAACUGCAUAGCGUAAAAGAUAAGGCUAGAUCAUGAACAUUACUGUUGCAUGCAUGUAAUGGUUAUCUAGCUUUAUAAUAGAUUCUGACUGUCCAUGCAGGCCAUCCAGAAAAUUGAUGUGUCAUGUUUUCCUGACUUCCUGAUCCCACGAUAUAGUACCUUUUCUGUUUCACUGUUUUUGCAUGAUCCCACUGGUUGACAGUUUGCCACUCCAUCUAAGCUGGUAGUGAAUGUUUGUAGGAGAAGCAGGAAUCUUCAAUGGAUGAAAACAUCUGUAGCAGAGACAUGAUCCAUCAUCGAUCAUUUGCUCGUGUCAAUUUCCAUAAGAUGUAAAGCAUUUCCAGUUGGACAGGUGAAAUUGGGCUUUCUACGGAUCUAGAACUCUACAUCUUCAGAGAGGUCCUGAGCUGUAGGAGUUGCAUAACAAAGGUGUCUUCACAGCAUAGCUUUUGAGUGCAGAUAAUGCGAUCUUUUGCCAUCUGAUAUCAUACUGUCAUCUACAUCAACGAAUCGACCUGAAGAUAAAGAAAUCAGGUAAUGCAUUACAUGUAAGCAGGUUUAGUAUUUUCUGCUGACUUCCCACUCCGUACUUUCGGAUCCUCCCGACCAAAAGAGCACCUGCUAAUUGAUCAAAAAACUAAAAUAACUGGUGAUCUUGUAAUCUACGUUAGAGAUAUGCACCUUUUAAGCAAACAUAUUUGUACUAGGAUAGCUCUUGGUGGCCACCAAGGUCAGUGUCCACUCGCUGCUGCGCACUUGUGAGAGACAGGAAGCAUAAUUUACGCCCUCAUCUGAAUUCUCUCGCCAUUGCUAUCUGGUGCAGUAUCUGUAUGUGCCCCGUUGCCCAAUACAUACGCAUCAUACGUUUGCAGCACUGGGCCUACUACUCCUUGAGCUGUAUUAUCAUCAGCAUAUAUUCAU